rnacentral:lncRNA from 1 species
GUGCUUGACCCACGCUUGACCUGCUCAGGAGAGAACAAGUCCCAGUGCCCAACUAAGAUGAGCUCAUCUGAGUGGACCAGCACUAAUUCAGCUCUGGGUUGGGGGGCCGCUCCCUGGACCUCCACUGGCCUUUCUAUCUGCAGGACCAGUGUUUCAAGGAACAUACUUGGCACUUGAGUGAGAACGAGUGACAGCAGGGAACCCCUUUCAGUCACAGGCCACCAGAGGCUAGCUAUUAUUUGUGUAUUAGGUAAAAGAAACCCAUUAAAGAGGCAAAGGCGAUGGAGUAGUAGAGGCAGAAUUGAUCUUCUAGAAAGUCUACCAAUAACGCCUUUGCGAUGUUUUAGAUUGACUCCUGGAAGACAAGUGUGUCCUAGUAGUCAGCAGGGGAGCGGAUGAGCUCAAGAAAAUUAAGGGAUUGGAAUGAAAUUCCCACGCGCUUGGGGGCUGCAGAGGGAGGCAGGGAGCGCAGGGAAGCAGGGCGUACCCCGCUGUGCGGGCCCCAUACACUUUCGGACCCGCGCAGAUCAAAGGAAGGACCAACAGACCUACUUAAAGCGCCAAGGGACUUACCUUCAGGGUUGGCGCUGAUGAAGACCCGGACGCUGCGACCGGCGGGUACCAGGUGAGAAGGAAGGGCGGUGAGAUUACCAGAGAACGCCGCCCGCCGGAGCGCGGAGUCCCGGGGACAGGGCAGCUUGGUGCCCGCACCGGCCGGCCACAUCGCCCUGUGGGAGGGAAGAUCAGCUGCCACCACCGUCUCUGCUUCUCGGGUCUUUGACCCUCCGCGGUCCCGCGAGGGCGAUGUCCGCCGGCGAAGCAGCUCAGAGUCGCUCGGAGCUCUGAGCGCAGCCGGCGAGCUUCGCAGCGCUCAGCAGCCGCUUUGGAGCAGCGGCCAUAGGGACCCUCGGGUCCCCAGUUGUUGUCGCCUCCUACACCUCUGAGGACUGCCUUGACUCCCGCCCGAGGCUCGGCGCCGCAGCGCAGGAGGUCAGCGUGGAGGAUGCUACGCGGGCGGUGCCAGGUUGCACCGAGAAGAGCCCGCUCCUCUCCUGGAGCCCGUAGCCAUGUCCCUACUGGUGUCCACCGCGGGAGGAGGGGGCAGCCGGGCGUCGGGGACCUGGCGGAGGACCAGAGCAGGUCAAAGUUUAGGAGACGGUGGCAGGAGUCGGUCAGGACUCUCAGAAACAACGCGGCUCACGGGGCGGCUGCGGUGUAGAUGCGCGGGCUGGGGGCAGCCCGGGGACCUCUUGGUUUCCUAGGAGGACUCGCACCAGAACCCCAGGCGGCUCCCUCAGUGAAGGACAGGAGAUCGAUCUGCCCGAGAUUCCUGCUAUCCUCCCUCGAACUCCCCUAAAGGUCAAACCAGCUCUGUGCAUUUGCGGGAAUCCAGUCGCGCGGGCGUCUGCAAGCCUUUGCCAAGUCCCCCAAAGUUCAAUGCUCCUCCACACCACACGCCAAGGGGCUGGAGCAUUAAAGCUCCAGGCAUUGAGAAAGGUUCUCCCUGCCUCUCGUGGCGUGGGAGGACACGUCUCGCCUCGGCGCUCUCUCCCCACGCUCGUGCAAUCGGGGGAUUUUUAUAGCUAAGCCACGAUGCUCACGUGGCCCUCCCCGCGUGGUCGCGGACCCUUUUGGGGAGCGAGUCUCUGCGGGCAGUUCUCCUAGACCUUUAAAGGACCAGGGAGCCUCCCUGCUCCCGCUGAGAAGCCUUUCCUGGCUGUUCGCCCUCCUGUGGGCGCGCAGGAACCAGGCGGCUUCCAGGGCAUUGGGAGCCCCACGCAGUAGUGGGUGUGAGCUCUGGCUCAAGGGAAGGAUGCAACUACAGAGAAAGACUCUCUGCCACGCCCCACUUCUGGCAAAGUGCAAGGGGCCUUUGUUUGGGGGCCUAGGUGGCAAAGUUGGCUCAAGGUUGUUGGUAAUCUGCACUCACUGAAGGGGCCUGAAUCACUUUCUUUGAGGGGGAUCAGACUGUGCAUCCUGGGGCCAGGGUCUGAACAUCUGCAGGAUCCCAAGUGGCAUGAGAUGCAGAGAAGUCCAAAUGUGUAAUUGCCGUCACCCUCUGAAACCCUACAAACUCCAGGAGAGGAGAUAAGAGUGAUUUUAUUGAAUGGGGAAGUAGGAAGAAGGGAGUAUUUGGAGCCUGCCUUGAAGCUGGACCUUCAGAUUUCUCAUUCUGAGGUUGGGUCAGGAUCAUAUUUUAGAGAGCAAACACAGCCCAUCCCACCCCACCCUCGAGACUGGGGAGAGGAUGGGUGGGUACAAAGCUUAGUUGGUUGCUCGUAUUUCUAAUUACCAGUUCUUAGAAACUGAGGUAGUAGGAUUUUUGCUAGUGCCAGGACAGGCCAGCCUGGACUAUAUACAGUGUGAGACCCUGUCUCAAACAAAAUGAUAGCUAGUCGCUUCAUGGCAUGUUUAUCUUCUCACCUGAAGACUCCUAUCCUGGGCAUCUUCUGGCAUCCCCAUCGUCUGCACUUCCUCUGGGUCCUGAGGGUGGCAGUGAAGUCCUACAUAGUGCUGUUUACAGUCUUAGAGCACCCCACACCCAACACUCAUUCUGGGCUAACCUCUUUGGAAGAACUGGGUCUCUAGGUUUUUAAGGCUCCAACUACUCCUGAGAGUCUGAAGCAGACAGCACUUGUUACUGUGUGAUGAUUUCACAGAACCCAUGAAGAAUUCCUGUGGAUAACCUAGCCAGCUAGUCAAUUAAUUCAUUCUAGCGAAUCAGCUUUUCAAAAUCACUAUUUCCAAGUAGGAAGGCAAUCGGGAGCAGAAUCCAGAGACUCUCGCCCUCCAUGGCCCCUGGUUAUGUACUGAAAAUUCUGUAACAGGUAAUGAAUGCAGAGUGCUGGCCACUGCUCCAGCCUUUACGAAGAUAUAGUAUCCAUCCCAGGGAAAGGGUCAGGACUACAUUAUGCCUCACCUCCCAGCAGUUAAAACAAUAUGGAUAAAAUGUUUACAGAGUGUCACCUGCCUGAAUCCUCCUCCCCUCUCUUAUUUAUAUUUCUGUUUUUAGACUCAAGAUUAGUGUUUGUUUCCUUCAGAUCUUGCUCCAGUGUUGAAUUUUCUUUGAAUGACUUUGGGGUUUUUGGCAGCCUUUGUAACCUAAUUAACUUCUAGACAGGCUGAAGUUUAGCAUCUGCCUGUGUCACUGCCGACCAAGCCUGCAGAAGAGAGAUUUGUCACUGUUCAUAGCAUAGUCACUGCACCACCACCUUUGCUGGAGGUAAAGCUAAGCAUCUUUUGAGUAGUGGGGAGGCAUCUGCUUAAAGAUACAGAAUUGCCUACAUCACUCCCACCCAGCCUCCUCCCUUACACUCUCCUAAUCUAUCUCUUUUUAACAGUCUGAAAACAAAGAUUGAUUUCUCAGCAUGCAGAUAGCACAAAGGAGAGGCCACCCAUAAUGGUAAGAUUUAAGUGUCAAUUCCUAUGGUUUUUCAGCUUGAUGAAUUAGAUUAUUGGUUGCUCAUUAGAUAGAUAGAAAGUCCAGAUUUUGGAGGCUACUUAAUUUUUAUCUUUGUUUCAAAAUUUUCAGUAUUUACUGAAGUUUUAUUUACUAAUUAAUAUGGGGUCCUUUGGGAGAACGACUAGAGCUUUUCAUUGCCAAGCCACUUCUCCAGCCCUAUUUGUUGUCCUUUCAGAAAUACUGAUAAAAAGAAUUUUAUUUUAAAUGUUGUAAAUACUUGCUUAGGUUGUAAAUAGGUUGGAAAUUAAAAGUGUACCAUCUUCUUUGUCUAUUAUAAACAAUGACAACAAAAAAGAAGUUUUAUUGCAUUUUUGCAUAUAGGAGAGCAAGGUUAGAAAAAUUCCACCAGAAAUUACUAAUACAAGGUCAUAAAGCUAAUCUACAGUAGAGCCACGAUCCAGGUAUUAAUGCUCCUGUCAAAGAUUUUUUGCAACAUAAUAAAUCCAUGUCUGGUCUUGGUUGAGAUUUUUUUUUUAACAACCAAGAUUAUGGCUGCUUCCAAGAAAGAGCACAUAGGUCUAUACUCCUUCCUCUGUUUUUUAUGUUUCUAUUUUUUUCAUUACAAUCCCAUAGGGAAAUCAAUACCAUUCCAGAAACAGGCAGGAGAUUUUAAAGCACCUAGAAAUGAGAAGAGAAAGGAGUCCUGGAACAUGGGUCCAAGACCAUGCUGCUAAAAACCAUUCCCUUCUCUUGUCUCACCCACCCUAGCUAGCAGGCUAGAAGUCCUUAUAAAAUAGUGGUGCCAGCUCUUUCUAAUACUGACCUGUGGGAAGGUGAAAUCACUGAUAGGCUCCUUCUAUUCACUGGGCUGGAAAGAGUCAUUUGCUUAUAGAUUCUAUCCUUCUUGAUAGAGAAGUUAAUGACCUUGAAAUAAAUCGUAAUUCCAUUAAACCAUUAUCUUGUGAUAUUGCUAUACUGAGCACUCCCUGUAUGAUACACACUGUUUUAAGCUUUAAUUAGUAUUUUACUUAAUUAUAUUGCAUUAAGGGUCUUGGUCUAGCAAGUCCUAUCUCCAGUUUAGCAUCCUGUCUUAGACACUAUAGUCCCUGUAUACCCUUUUAAAAAUCAUUACUUUUUAUUUUAAUACAUUUAAAAUUAAAAUAGAAUUACAUUGCUUUCCUUCUCCCUGUCUUCCCUUCAGCUUCUUUCAAGUGCCCUGUCAACUUCUUCCAUGCCCUCCCUCUCAAACUGAUAGCCUCUUUCUCACUCUUGUUACAUAUAAAUGUAUGUUUAAUUAUACAUAAAUAUUUAAAUACAUCG